GGCGGAGUAGCUCAGAUGGUUAGAGCGGGCGUCUCAUAAGCGCUAGGUCGGCGGUUCGACUCCGCCCUCCGCCACCA
rnacentral:tRNA from 1 species